UUGAAGAUAGUCCUUGCUCCAUUUUAGGUACUAUUAUAUUUUUAAUUAAAUAUCUACCUAUAUACUGUGUUAGAAUGCAGACCCACUCUUAUCUGCAUAUCUUAAGGCCCUAGGAUGCAUUUAACACCUACAAGAGACUUAGUAAAUGAGUGUUUGAGUGUUCGUUUGAGGCCAUUCUUGAUGCUGUCCUCAGCUAGGGAGGACAUGAGCUUAGCAUUUGUUCCAGCUGGUUGUAUGAGUCAAUCUUUGACCUGCGAGAUGGAGGCAUUUGAAGAUGCACAGGGUAUUUUUUCCCUUUUAUCUGUGAUUCUUAUCUAUAAGACUUAGCUCCAAAUGAAAAUGGAACCAACAUUUGAUUCAGUUUCUGGGACAAAAGCUAGACAGGAUGUUUCUGCCUCCAGUUCUAGUGAAGGCUAUAUUCAAAUUUACAUUUUUCAUUAACACAUUGCUUGUGUGUGUGUGCUAUCUUAUCUCAUAUUUUUAAGUACCUAACCCCCUCCUCUCCUUUCAUUUAUUUCCCCCUUCUUUUUCCUCUUGUCUAUUCCUCUCUUCUCCUGCCCUCUCCUUUCCUUUCUCUUCUCAAACUAGUCAUUAACUUUCAGAAAUGUAUCUAUGUACUAUCUUCUCUUCGAUGAAAUGGAAUUAUUUUGCCAAAAGUUGUAUAGAGUUGGUGUGAUGCUGAGAGAUACACCCUUGAGCAUAGAGCGCCCUAUCAGCUUCAAAUCUUGCUUUCCUUGCCGUGCCGUCUGAAUAAUUAGGGCCACUUUAAGUUCUUUCCUUUGAGUUUGCAACAUGAGUUCUCUUUUUAAAAUGCAAUAUAUAUAACGUUAGCUGUAUCAUAAUAUCAGAAGAGAGUAGAAUAUGCAGGACCUUGGGAGUUAUCCCAGGGAUCUGUCUAUAAUUCUUGUAAUAAAAGAUUAUCUGGUUCAAUUUGAACUCUGAAGAAAGCAAUCCCUCCUCUUCCACAUCAGGGCAAGGCUUUGGUACAUACCGUGAUUUUUGGUUGAUAUCCUGAGUAUCCAGAUGGAGUCACAGUUACAUUAGUCAACCUCCCAAACUCCUCGUCCUUUCCCACAGUUCUCUGCCUGAAAUACCUAACGUGACUACAGAAUCCCAUGCAUUUCAGAGAUUACCUUGACUUUGUGGAGGGUAGAUCUAGAGCAUGCAUAAACAACUUACUCUGUGAGUUGUAGAAAACAGUUCAGCGUCUUCUGUGUUCUUCCUCUUCCACCUCAGCUUUUUAGAGUUUUUUAUUCUCUUUGCAAAAGAUCUCUGCUAAAUUCUUACCAUCUAACAGUUGGUGAACUAACACCUUCAACAUCUCUCAAGUGUUUAUUUGAAACGAGGAAACAUUGGUAACCCUUCAGACUGUCCGGUCCACUGUCUAACAAGUGCCUCUGGUGAGCUGUAUUUAGGGUUGAAAGGUUUAGUAGCAUUUGGGUGUGCUUUAAGAUGCCUACUAGUGACGUAAAUAAUCCAGUAACAUCAGGAUCACAGGAGGUGCUGCCGUACAGCCCCGGGGGAGAAUGGCUAUGCGCAAAUUACCGAGUGACCUCUCUAACUUCAUCACUCAUUUUGUCACUCAGGAAACUCUCUAGGUAGCCAUCUGUCUUUUCCUGGAUCUUUUCUUAAAACUGUAUGCUCAGCACUCUCAACAUCCCAGCCCCCUUCUCCUGAGGCAGAGCAGAGAAAGAUAUCUUUAACCAUUAAGAUUCUUCCAAUGACUUUGAAAUCUCCCAAUACUUCCUGCCCCUUCUCUUUUAAAAAUAAAACACUAACCUAUAAAUCAGUCUAUGAGUUUACCAGUUUCCAAUAACACAUUACACCAUUUUACACACACACACACACACACACAUUUAAAUUCUUGAAUUUAACUAGACUACAUUUCAUUUAUUUGUGUUGAACUUACAUAUUCUUUCAAAAAAACAUCUCUGCUUUCUAUUUUAUUCUUUAGAGAUGAAAAAUACACUUUUAAAAUCUCUCUUUCACAUACUUGUCAUUUAGGUAUUGGAGGAACAUCUUUAUGUCCUGUCUUACAAACCUUGUGUCUGUGGGAUGGUCUAAUUUCUCUCACAGUUUAUAAAUUUUAAGUGAAGUUUAUAGGAUCUAGCUUAUUGCUCUACAAAACACUGAUGGGCACUGAGCACAAAGUAACCCAACAACCAUGAACAGGCCGUAGGGGAAGGCAGAGGGUGACAACAGAAAAUAUCCCACCCUAAAGAGGGGGCAUUUGUAAUGUAUCGUCAGACUUAUCAAGAUGGAAAACAAUCCUAUUACUCAAUGAACUGUCAUGUAUCAGGUAUCGGGUUAGCUAUUUCUAGACAUUAUCAAACUCUGUGUGUAGAUGUAUGUUACUUCUUUAUGAUCCGUUCCCUUAAGGUAUUUUAUGUUUUUUGGUUUUUUUUUUUAACGUAUUCAAGAAAUUCCUCUAGGACUUCUUUAAGCAAUAAAAUUCUGGAAGUUUGUGCCUCAGAGGCUGCAAGUAUCCACAGGUACUGAAGUUCCUAAACACUAGAACUGAUAACUUGAGGGUGAGCAUCGAGCUGAUGUGGGAGACAAUGCUAUGGCUGAAGCUGUCACAGGAUGACAAGUGCAAAUCUGCAUAGAUGCUAACAUCACAACCUGCAGAACUCAUAAAGGUUUACACUUUCCUUGCCGUUAUAGCUUAUAAGACUUUAGAAAUAACAGAAGUAAAGAAAUGCCUUUAAGGUUAUGACAUGGUGUUGUGCCAUUUUUAUUAGCCAUAUAUUAUUACAUAAUAUGUAUUAGUGUGUAAUAUUUUAUUAGAUUCAAAUAUUCAAACAUAAACUUAACAUGAAAAUUUGCUCCAUUGGAAAAGAACACAUAGGGAUGACUAAUAAAAUAUAGUAUAUUAUCAAUAUAUUAAUUUUCCAACUGUAUGCAUUAUAUUUAAAAUGUAUAGUUCUUCUAAAAGUUUAACAAUGUUAUAGUCAAAGACAAUCAUAAAGAAGCUAAAAUCAUCAAUCAUCAUACUACUUCCAGAUAAAUCAUAUUUUGGUAUACAUUUUUCCAUUUAAAAAAUUAAAUACAAUUAUAAAUAUGAAUCUAAUUGUGUAUUCUUUUUUCUCACAUCCUGUAUCUUCAUGUGCUUAUUUUUUACUGUUAAACAUUUAAAAUUUUUAUUUGUUCAAUUUUUGAGUGUUCCCCUUGUGUAUGCAAUCAAUGUUAGUCAUUUUCACCCUCUCUCAUCCCCUCCCUACGUCAUUGAAGAUAUUUCCCUCCUCCUUUUAUUUAUUUAUUUAUUUUUAUUUAAAUAUUUUUAUUACAUAUUUUCCUCAAUUACAUUUCCAAUGCUAUCCCAAAAGUCCCCCAUACCCUCCCCCCCACUCCUCUACCCACCCACUCCCACUUUUUGGCCCUGGCGUUCCCCUGUACUGGGGCAUAUAAAGUCUGCAUGUCCAGUGGGCCUCUCUUUCCAGUGAUGGCCGACUAGGUCAUCUUUUGAUACAUAUGCAACUAGAGUCAAGAGCUCCGGGGUACUGGCUAGUUCAUAAUCUUGUUGCGCCUACAGGGUUGCAGAUCUCUUUAGCUCUUUGGUUACUUUCUCUAGCUCCUCCAUUGGGGGCCCUGUGAUCCAUCCAAUAGCUGACUGUGUCCCUCCUCCCUUUAUAUCUUACUUUACCUAAGUGUAAUACUGAGUGCAAUUACUGUGGCAUGCAUGAAAAUGGAUGGGAAUAAUGUUCCUUGCAUGUAAUGAAUGGGAGGUCGUUUACUAGAACAUGGGCAACUUUUCAAUAGCUACAUUACUGAAGAAAAUAGUUGUUUCCUCAGAAGCCAUCAGCUUGCCAAUGUUCUCUCAGGUAGGGAUGGGGCCUCACGAGCCUCUCCCCCAUGCAUGAUGACUGCCCCACCCUCUAUGGUAAUUGCAGAUGCAAUGACAUCAUGAAUGCCAUGGCCAUUGGUCUAAUUUUGUUUUGGGGGCUUUGUUUCCUUUUGUUUCCUCAGCAGAGCCUUCAUUUCCUUUGGUUCAUGAAUUUUUUCCAACUUCUCCUCCCACAGUAUUCCUGGAGCCUGUGUAUGUGUGAUAUAGACGUACAGCUUAGGGUUGAACACUCCACAGUCAAUCAUUAGCACUUUGUCUAGUAAGGGGUUUUUGCAAUAAAUGUCAUAUACAGCAAUAAGAAGAGUCUCCGAUGAAGGCUAAAACCAAUACUAAUCUACAAAUAUGGGUGUGAAUAUUUUGAAGGCAGUUUAAUAAUAUGCAGAGUCAGCAAAAUAGAAAUAGUAGGGUCUCCUCUUGGGUCUAUGAACUCUCUAAUCAUGGGAUCACGAUAAGGUUUCUAGUACCAUGGGAUCCCUCCUAUGGUAUAGCCCUCAAAUCCAGUCAGAAAUUCAUUGGUUAUGUCCAUGAUAAUUAUGCCACUAUUACUCUUGUGAGUACACCUUACUUAAGAAAUUGAUAGGUUGGUAUUGCAAUUUACAAAGUUCACAGAUGGGUAAAAAUAUUGAUGGCUUUUCUCCCAGUAGUCUUUAUUUUACUGUUAAUUAUUGCAUGAUGUACAUGCAUAUUCAUGUACCAUAUAUGCAUAUAUAUUUAUACAUUUUUAACUUUUCUUUCUAAUUAUGCUUGUAUAUAAUAUUGACCAUUUGUAUAAUUUUCUUAUGUUGUAAUUCCUUAGAUUGGGACUGAUGGUUAAAGCUGUUGACAUGUUAUGCUUAGCUUUGAAGUGGGUAGUGUGUUUGGUUUGUCUUUAAUUAAACUUUUAUUUGCCACAUGGUUCUCAAGUGGAAUGUAAAGGAGGGAACCAUGGAAGUGAGGAGGCAAUGGGGCCGGCUCACCUUCAAGCAGGGUCUGCUCUACUGUACUGCCUGGGCCAGGCACAGGGAGGACUUUCUGGAGUGCUGCUGCCUGAGGACAGGGCAAGGUUAGUUCUUUAGAGCGCUGAAGCCAGUGAGGGGAGAUGCCAGCUGUGCACAAUCCCUGAACAUCUGCGUGGCCCCCCACAGUUGCCCCCACCAGGAACAUCCCCAUGUUCUCUAGUGGUAAUAUGAGCCACGGAUAUUAACAUGCCCCUAACACUGCAUAGCCAUCGAUUCAAACAUGGCCCUCAGUGCACCUCAGGCUGGGGCCUCACCAUGGCUUCAGACGUCAGGACUGGCCACUCACAACCAGCUACUCCUCCUCUCCACUCUUGAGUCUCGAGUUCCAUCUCUUUUCAUAAUGCUAAAAGCUGCUCCUCUUCUCUUUCUCUCCCAUCUGUCCAUAUAUACUUGCACAUUGUAGUGGCUUCUGCAUCAGGCUGGCCUCACAGGUGGCGGGCUCCUGGGUGACAUCCUCUGUCUAUGUUGCAUAUCAUGGUGGCAAGCGGGUGUCUUCGGCCUGUGCCAUGCGCACAGGUCUAUGGGUGGCAUGGCCGUCCUCAGUCUUCUUUCUUCGCUCAACAGUGGUAGGCAGCAGACUCUGUAUACCUGGAGGGAAGGUCUGUGUGCAACUUUGCCUACCCACACUGAGUGACUGUCUUCCUCCUCUCACACUGUGCUGCCUGGAUUUGAUUUGAUUUGAGGUGUCCUAGGCAUAAGACAGCUUUGCCCACAAAGCCAGGCACCAAGCUAGGAUGCACAAAGGACUGCCAUCAGCUCUGCCCCUGACUGAUGUAAGAACAACACCACCAGCAAGAUGGCUUAGUAUUUUUUUUUUUAACCAUGAAGUGAGGUUGAAUUUUAUCAGUCUUUUCAGCCUUCAUUGAGGUGACAAUGCAGUUUCUACCCUUGAUUCUAUUCAUGUUGCUGGGCUACUUAUUUGAACACAUUAAACCAUGGUGGUAUCCUUGGAAUUAAAACAUAGUCUGAUCUUUUCGGUUAGUUUUAAAAUAAAAUGUUAAGUAUUUUAUUGAGAAUCAUUCUUUUUGUUUGCAAUAGUUUUCCUAAGGCCAUGACAUUAUAUACACACACACACACAUAUAUAUGUGUAUGUGUGUAUAUAUAUAUGUGUGUGUGUGUGUGUGUGUGUGUGUGUCUAUGUGUGUAUAUAUAUACUUGUCUUCUCUGUCUUUAAAAAACAACAAACAAACAAACAAACAAACAAACAAAACAGUUCACUCAUUCCCAUGGACUUCUCCAUUAGAACUUCUUUCUGCUUAUGAAGUUAGUUCUGGAGUGUUGUGUUUUCAGUUCUAUUUGAGUCUGUUUAUUUUUACAGGCUCCAUUUAACUUUUAAAUUAUCUAUUGUUUGAUUGAAUAUAAGUUGUUUAAUCUCUGUGCACUUCUAUAAUCCUCUAGUUUUUUGUACAUAUUUUUAUUUAUAGUUCCAUUCUGCUAUGAGAUGCACGAUACAAUAAGAUUUGUACUUAAUAAAACUUCUUUUAUGACCUACACUGUGUGCUCUUUUAGAAAAAGUUAUUAGUGAUGGUAAAAGUGUAAUCAGGACAUAGAAUGGGUUGGAGCCACUGUGCUCUGUACCCUUCAUGUCAUAGUGACAAAAUAUCUGACAUAUGUAAGUUAGGGGAGCAGAUGUUUGCUCUGGCUCGUGAUUCAAGGACAUUCAAGUCCAUUACAAUGAAGAAGUGGAAGCGGUGUGGCGGGUUCAGAGUCAGCAGCAAUACAAAGUGACAGACCACAUUGCUGCAUCCAGGAAUAAGGCCAGAAGCCAGGCUGCAUUAUAACCUCGAAAGGCUGCCCUCUGUGAUCCACCUCAACCAGCGAGUUCUCGCCUUCUAAAGGUUCUACCGCUUCACAAAGCAAUACCGACAGCUGGGGACCACAUAACCGUUCAUACACAGGAGCCCAUGGGGGAUGCUUCAUAUUCAAAGCCUGACAUAUGUGUAAUAAGCCCACAUCUUCUAUAUUAUAAUUAGUUUUUUAUAUAUUUUUCUGUCUCUCCACAAGAGUCACCCAUUAUUAUCUCAGUGGCAUCGAGUCUCUUGAUUGUCAGUUCUGAAUGGCGCACUGUUUCACAACCCAGCGCAUAUCCAUUUACAGUCAACGUCAACCCAUUCGGCUGUGUAAGCUUCUCCGUCUCACACCUUAGGCCUGAAGCUGUCCUGUUAGAUACAAGUAUAGAUGCUCCUACUGGUUUCUGGAUUCUACUUGUUCGAGAUAUGAUUAUCUAACCCCUCACUUUUAGUGGGCGUAUGGCUUGGCCAGCAAGGUAAGUUUUACAGGCAGCAAGUGGUUGGUAUUAUUUUCUUCCAUAAGCCAGCCUGAAGCUUUUACUUCAGGAGCUGAGGCCACUGACAUUGUGCGCUGUUUUGGUGACAUUCGUGCUCAUCUCUGCUGUUUUGUUGAUUUCCUUCUGCUUGUUGGGAACACUCUGUGUUUGUUCCUUUCCCUUGUGUUCGUGUUAGACAUUUGAUUAUUGACUACAUCACUCUUGACGCCCCUGGUCCUCUUUUACAUACCUACGCUCCUCCCAGUGCAAUUUCUUCUUUCUUGAUGGACCUUGAAUUUCUCUCUCCUCAGUGUAGAAGAUUCCUUUAAGUAUUUUCUGGCAUGCUUGCUCAGGGGCCGUGAAUUCCAUUUACUUGAGCUUGUUUUGGAGUUGGAACUGCAUUCUCCUGUGUGGUAAACCAGAUUGACAGCCGUUGCCUUUGGGAGUCAGAAAUACUUUCAGACCAUCAGAGCUCCUGGGAAGAAGUCUGUUGCUCCAGUUGGCGUGCCAUGUAAGUGACUUGGUACUUCUUGUUUAUAAUUAUGAAUAUUAGUAUUUCGUUACUUCAUUAUAUCUUGUUUCCUUGCAUCUGCCAAUCUGACAAGUUGUGGAGAUGAAAUGUUUUUGGUCAUGAAUAUUUGGCAUUCUAAAUGCCCCUGAGCCAGGGUGUCUGUAUUGUUUCUCACUGUGGGAGUCACCUGUGCUUAUUUUCCUGACUGGGUUUUUGACAUUUCUAAUUGUACCGCUACCUUCAUCUGGUCACGCACAAGCUCUGCCUUUCACCAUUCCACACAGGGCUUGUGUUCUGCUCCUAUUUCUCACUUUCUUGGUAUCUGAACGUGGUAAGUCCCCAACCUUACCCUGAAGCCACACAUUUUUUUCCUUUACUUCAUCUUCUUUUUCAAAGGAGGCUUUCAAUGAAAUAUUUAUGAGCUACUGAACUUUUCAAUAUUUCUGAUUUUCUUCAAUUUCUAACAUACAUACUGCGUUCUUUUUCAUAUCCUAUGUUGGCUUCUUUAGUUCAUCAGGCUAUUUCCAUUUAUUAUUUUAAACUUUGUAGAUUAAUCUAUUUAUUAUUAAUUUAUUUGUUUACCUACUCUACAGUUGCAGCUUCCCCUCCCUCCUGUUCUCCCAGUCCCUCCUUCUUCCCUCCUCACACCCUGUGUCCUUCCCUUUCUCCCCAGAGAAGGGGAGAACUUCCAUGGAUAUCAACCUGCCUUGUCAUAUCAAGUUGUAGUAGGAGUUGCUGCAUCUUCUAUCUAGACUAGACAAGGCCAUCCAGUUAGGGGAAAGAGAACGAAAGGCAGGCAAUAGAGUCAGAGUCAGCCCUUGCUCCUCUUGUUAAAGGUCACAUCUGAGAACCAAGUUCCCCUACAUAUAUGUACCAGAUGUAGAUCAUUUUAAAAAUAAUCUUCUAGAUACUUUGUCAUUUUGUCCACUUAGUUAUGUUUUAAUUUAGUUACUGGAAAACUAGGAACUUUUGAAGGAAUCAUAUUCUUUCUCUCUCUCUCUCUCUCUCUCUCUCUCUCUCUCUCUCUCUCUCGCUGUCUCUCUCACACACACAAAUACACAUACAUAUACUCACACAUAUACACAAAUACACACACAUACACUCACACAUACCCAUAAAUAUACACACAUACACACACACACUCAGACAUACGCACACAUAUAUACUCACACAGACACACUUACACUCACACAUAUACACAAAUAUAUACAUACAUACACAUAUAGACACACAUACACACAUAUACUCGCACAUACAUACACUCACACACACAUAUACACAUAGAUAAAUAUACACACACAUAUACAUACAUACAUGCACAUAUAAACUCAAACAGAGACACAUACAGACAGAUACACAUAAACAUACAUAAAAACACAUACCUACAUACAUACAAACACACAAACACACGCACACCUUGUUUUUAUAUGCUGACAUUCCAUCUUUGGGGAUAGCUAUCUUGUACAAUUUUGUGUGAGAGUAUCCCUAGCGAGAGGCCAUCUUUUGAAUAUUUGAUGUUCAGUAUUGCUUAGAAAGGAGAAAAUAAACCCCAGUAAUAACAGCACAAAACAGAGCCUGAAAUUCAGUAAAAUAAAGGUUAAAGAUUGCUAACUCACAAAAAGAAUGGAAAUGUAUAAAAAUAACAUAGCAUAAACAAAGUUAAAAAUCACCAAGAUUGCAGUCAAAAAUAAUAAUAAAACUUAAAAUGUGAGAGAGAAAAUAAAAACAAGACCGGUGGAGGAAGAAUGAGAAAACAAGGAGUGCUAAAAAUCAAAUAAAAAUAAAACAGGAAAAUAAAGCCCAAUAAAAAGGAAAUGUUAUUUAAAAGGAAAAGUAGGUGAAGCACUUCCUAGAUGAUGUACUUGAACUUGAGAAGAUCCUCCCAGGCUCCUCUAGUGCUAGACUCUCCCAGGUGAUGAGCAGCAGGCUAUGACUGAGGCCUGCUGUAAUUCCUCUAAGUCCCACAAAGUUGACUCAUGCUCAAUGUAGACUGAUCCCUACCCUAGGUCUCCUAUUGGGAUGGUUAGGGGUAUGCUGUUCAUUGCUGUGUUAAUGUCUGAGAGAUCUGGGUCUUUCAUUUCUUCUCUCUCUCUCUCUCUCUCUCUUCCUCCUUUCCUCCCCCCCCUCUUCCUUUCUUUGCUUUAACACAAGAACUACAGCUAGCCAUGUGUGUUAAUAUGUAGGGUAAGCAGGCACUCACUCAUUACAGAGAGCCACAGUUCAUGCACCAGAGGGUGUGGCAAAUGUUUAUGGUAGAACAUAUCAUCCAAUGUCUGAGAAAUUGGGCGACCCAAAUAGACCUUUGAAAUUUUGGGUUGAGGAGUAUUAUGGGAAUGAAGUUAUAGGCUCAUCUUUGCCCCUGUACUCUCAGCCGUAACCAUGUGACUAGUUUUAUUCCUUACCUACUAGCACUGUUCGCUCUGUAGUCAGUGAUCUCUGUUGCUUACAGUUUUCAGCAUUUAUGUUGUUGUUGUUGAUUUUUCAAGACAGGGCUUCUCUGUAUAGCUCUGGCUGUCCUAGAACUCACUCUGUAGACCAGGUUGGCCUCGAACUCAGAAAUCCACCUGCCUCUGCCUCCCAAGUGCUGGGAUUAAAGGCGUGCACCACCACUGCCCGGCUCAAUUUUCAGCAUCUUGUGUCAGACUUCUCUACUUCAUGGCUGCAUGACUGAUUUUGACAGGCAGACAGUCAUGGCCAAACCUUAUGCUUUUCCUGUGCUUUCAGAACCUUAAAAGUAGUUCAGUCCCUGGUAACAGUCCCUCUUGAGAUGGCUCUCUAUGACACUCAAGGGUAAGUGACAGAAUGGAUUUCUUUUUUAAAUCGAGCGUGUGUGCGUGUAUGUGUGUGUGUGUGUGUGUGUGUGUGUGUGUGUGUGUUGGGUUAGGAAUUUUUUCAGACUAAAUCCUAUUUCUGUAUUUAUUACUUCUAAGAGCCAUAGUUUCUUCUGAAGCUAGAUCUGCCUGUAUGUUAUCAUCAGUGAGGCUGUCUGUAUUUCUGGUUCACCUUGCAGCCUAUAGCAUCUGUUCCUUGUCCAUCUUCCCAGAACACCUGAUUCUGAGAGGCUGAAUGGGAACUUGACACUUCCCUCUGAAUCGCCAUUCUGCUUCUCUAAGCCUUUUAGCUUUUAAUCACCACUUGCUGUCGUUGGCUCUUUCUUGUUCCCUCAUCUCCUCAUAAUAUAGCUUUUCCAUUGUUGACUUAAAAGCCCUCAGAGGAGACUCCUGUUCUGCCAUCUGACCUGCCACAUCCCCCAGAUACCUUAAUCUUAAUCUAGAUAUAGAAACACAAAUGAGCAAAACACGUAUACUCUAGAUACUUUCAAAAAGAAGCCUUUAAGGGACAUUGUCUUAACUUUGAUUUUAAUGAACAUUGACCUUUAAGGAGAAAAUCCUUAUAAUGCAACUAGAGAGUAAGAAGCAUGAAGGAAUGAAUGUUUAGGAAAAAAUAAUUAGCAAUAAGGAUAUAUAAAGUGACCUGUUGGAUAUGCACUAUUAUCCCUGGGAGAAAGCCUGUAUGUUUGAAAGAGAUAAAAACCACUCUUUUCACCAGCAAACAGCAGAUGCUGACAAGAAAUGAUAAAAUAACAGUGCAUUGUCUGCCACCGUGAAUUAUCCAGAACGUAGCUCUCCAUUAUUUCAAGGUUGAUUUUGCUUGUCAUUCAAAAUUGGAUAAUCUAUAGAUUGUUCCUUCAUUUGAUGACCUUAUGAAAAUUAUAAGGUUAUGAAUUAUAGUUGAGGAUGUUAUUCACAGUUGUUGAGAUUAAGUUUGCAUUUUAAAGGGAGCAUAGACCUGUAAUCUUAUUGAUUGAAGAUUUCAUGAGUUGAUCAGUAUCCACAGAUUAUGUCUAUAGCUUUUUCAUUAGUGCACUCUUCAAUUACCUUAGAGGAUUUCUCAGACCAAGGAAAUUGUUCAUACCUGCUUUGUCUUUGAACAUGUUAUGAGUAUCUGCAAAUAUUGGUAAAUUUCUAGAAAACAUGUUGAAUAUCUACAAUAUCAGAAAAUAGGCAUGCUAUAGAAAAGUCUUUUUCUUGAUUAAUUAGUCAUUAUGUGUAUCCCUAAGACAAACAUGGCCAUCUGCUCAGCAUCUCAGAAGUUGGGUUGGACCUGUAUGGUUUUCCCUUCAGCCUUCAGAGUUAUAGUUUUACAGCAGUUUAUCAUCACACUGUUGCAAAUUAUUAAAGAAGCAAGCAACUAAGCUCUAACUCAGAGGGCUCUCUUACUUCCUCCAUUACAUAAUAAAGGCACCCACACCCAAAUACCACAGUGUACCCUAAGUAUGAGAAAACACUUCACAUCAGAUGAUGUGGCUUGAAACACACACACACACACACACACACACACACACACACACACACACACACCCAGACACACACCUCCUUCUCUUUUGAGAAGUUUUAUAGGAAAGAAAUCAUGCAAAGAAAGUCUUCAAAGAAUAAUUGACUUGAACAGACUUUCUACGGGUCAGCAUUUUUUUCUUUUUUGCUCUGAAGUCAGAAUAAAUAAAACAAAGCAAAAUGAGUAAGUUCAGCCAAAAAAAAAAAAAAAAAAAGAGCAGCGAACAAGGAUGCUUCCAUCGUCCCGCACGGCAAGCAAGGAAGGAAAGGUCACCAUCUUGUGUUUACAGAUUUAUUUGUCUAUCUCACAGUUUGUGAUUCCAAAGUAUUUUAUCAGCAUUAAUUAGUUUUUCCCUUAAAAAAAUCUGGAAACAUUUGACUUAAGACAGUUAUGCCAACUUAAGUCUUCAAAUAAAUUGUGGGCACUUCGUGGUGUAUUUCUUGGAGGAUGGGGUAAAAGAAAAACAUGUCUACUUAUUUGACUUUCAUUUAAAACCUCACAAAUAAUCAGCUUUAAUUUUCCCAUUUCCCCCUGUUUUGAAAUGAAUAUAUGUUCUUCUCAGAAUGUGUAUGAAAUGUAAAAUAAGUAUCAGAAGAAAGAUAUUGUCCUUCUAAUCUUACACAUAGGCAUAACUAGUGGGUUCUUUUUUUUUCAUAUUCUGUGUAUUUGGUAAACUUUAAAUAUUUCUCCCCAAUUCUUUUUUAAUAUAUGUUGAACAUUUUCUUUGAAUUAUUCCACCAAAUAGAUCGAAGAUAAUAUAAUAGGCCUUCUUGUUUGGUUUAUUUAUGCGUUUGGGGUAGAACACAUAUAGAGGGCAAGCUGGCCCUAAUCUUGAGCUUCCUAUACAGCUAAGACUAUCCAUGACUUCUGACCUCCUUACCUCCACCUCUCAAAUGCUAGAAUUAGAGGAGUGUCUCACCAUUCCUGGUUUUUAUGUGUUUCUGGGGAUCAUAUCCAGCUCUAGGUGCUCCCUAAGCAAUUAUCCUACUUACAUCUAUUCAGUUCUAAUAAGUAUUCUGUUUAGUAAUUAAUUAAUUUUACAUUUAGUGUGUGUGUGUGUGUUUUCACAUGAUCUCAGAUGCUUAUGUUGUGGUCAGAGAACAACUUAUAGGUGUCAGUUGCCUUCUGCCAUGUGGGUUUGGGGCUGGAACUCAGGUAGUCAGGCAUGGUGGUAUAUGUCUUUAUCCACUGAGCCAUCUCACCAGUCCUCAUCUACUUAUUUUUAAUAAAGAAAAUAUCUGUCAAAUAAGAAUUCAUCCAAGACAAAUAGGCUUUUAUAAUUCCAGUUGCAUCUACUACAGACCACGACUUAAUAUAAUGAAGUAAAACUGAUUCCUCUAUUGCUCAAACUAUUUAUUUACUUACAAAAGCUAGACAAAGGAAAUUAUAUGUUGGAGAUUUGUUCUAAAUCUUUGAUUCAACUGGGAAUCUGCAUUCCAAACCUAAAGGUCCUCGUUCUUAAUUGGUUUUUGAUCAACCAAUAAAGAUGGCUGGGCACAGGUGGGACCUUUAAUGUCACAUGAGCUAGGACACAGGGGGAAGAAAAAGGAGGAUCACCAUGAAGUGGUGGGAGAUGGAUGGAUGCAGGAGCUACAGGAGAGGAAGCCAACCACCCAUAUGAGAAUUUAGGUAGGUGGCCACUUCCCCGAUUGGUCCUAGGGCACAGGGAAAGGUUUAAAUGUGUUUGAGGUAGGCAAGGCAUUUUAAAAUUAACUGGUGUGUGUGUGUGUGUGUGUGUGUGUGUGUGUGUGUGUGUGUGUGUUAGUGUGUCUUCCAUUCAUGAAUCCAAGCAGCUCCUGGAGGAGUGCACGAGUGCAAUCCUCAUGGAGCCAAAGUGGUGUAGCCCAAACUCACUACUACAAUUAUACAUGAAUUAGACUAGUGAGCAAUAAAAAAAAAUCUUGUAAAAUAGAAAAACAUAAGCCAAACACAAAAAGUGAGAUAGAUUACCUAAGGCUAACUGGAACACAUGGUAUCCAGUUACUUUAAGCACAGUUUUUAAAAAUAUAGCUAUUAGUUGCUUCUGGAUGGUUCAUUUUCACGACAAGGCUGAAGCUCACUUCCUGGCUAAGAUUAAUGGGCACCAACAGAAAUAUAGGACAGAGUAAAGCUGGGACACUGCCACAUGUUAUCUACUGAGCCAUCUCACCAGAAAUAUGUGACACAUACUUCCUUGAGACCCAAAAGUGCUGGGUCUAAUACCAAAGACCCAGCACGGCUGUUAUGAAUGGUCUUAAGCAACUGCCCUAGAAUCUGUCUCAGCUAACUGGAGUACAGAGAUUCUCUAAGGUGUUGACUUUCCAAAAGGGAAAGUGAUAACAAAUAGUUCCUAAGUUUAUUUCAAUUACAGACUAUUGUGCACACAUAUCCACAUACAGAGCGAGAUAGUGUGAGUGAGAGACAGAGACUGGGAGACAAAGACAAACAGUGCAAGAGAGCUAUUAUCUAACUUCUCCCACCUCUGACACCUCAUCUGCUGUACCUUCAGUAUCUGUCCUUUCUAUGUUACCGCUGUCAUAGAAUCUGGAACAAAUGUUCAGCUCACUGGAAAGACUGAAAAUAUUUUUCUUGUUCUUUGGAUUUCUGGAACAAGGCCUCAGGAAUUAGUUUAGUUUUGAGCUUUCUAAGCAGUUCCAGUUCUUAUACAGCAAUGGUGGCCUCUGCUGUUUCAUGAUGCAGUCUUCCAGUGCUUCCGGGAAUGUGUUCAACAUAGCUUCUGAUCCCUUAAGGCUAAUCCAGGGACCUUUCAGGUAAUAAGUUCUCAAUACACAUCUGUUGAAUGAAUGUAGGUCUGCAAACAGUAUUCAAGGAAGCUAAAGAUGAAAGAGAAGACAGAUCCCUGUUGGCUGCCUACCUUCCUUACUGUUGGCUAUGUACGCUUUAAGAGCUAGAAGUAAUUCUGUCAAGAAGCCACUAACACAUCCUGAGGAUGCCACACUUUUUGUCAAGGUCUAAUGAAUCUUAAGUUCUUUCCACAAGCCAAACAGAAAGCAGAUCCUCUUUAAACAUCGGGAUCCAAAAUUAUCAGAGCUGAUAUUCCAUUCUUUAUUUUUCGUUCAUCUUCUCUGUAACUUGACAGCUGAGUGCUUAUAGCUUAUAUGAGGCAGACGAUGUUCUAAGUUUUGAGAAUAUGCCAGUGAAUGCAACAGGAAGAAAUCCUUGUCUUCACAUAUUUUGGAAUGUAAUUAGAAAAAUUAAUGUGUGUGUGUGUGUGUGUGUGAGAGAGAGAGAGAGAGAGAGGGAGAGAGAGAGAGAGAGAGAGAGAGAGAGAGAGAGAGAGAGAGAGAGAGAGAGAGAGAGAGAGAGAAAGUACAGUGGAAAUGAGGUGGAAAAUACAUAAAGAACUGGGGUGAGGUAGCAAUUCUGUAUGGGCAUGCUUUGCCUAGCAACCUCAAGAUACAUUGCUUGAAAUGACAGAAGGAGAUGAAGGCUUACUUAGGUGAAUAAGCUAGGAGAUCAGCAAGAACAGAAGCUUGGAGGAAGGAUCACAUGCAGUGUCCAAAGACCAGCCACUUGACUUGGGAUGAGAGAGAGCCAAACAAACAAUUCAGAGGAGAGUCCUUGUGGGCUUUUGUAUGCUGUAGUAAGGACACUGCCUUUCAUUUCUGUAGAGAUGGUAUGUCCCCAAGGGCUUUAACAAGUCAUCAGGCAAGACACUGGAACUGGAUCACUCUGUUACCACAUUGACUAGGCCAAGAUGGGUAACAGGCAGGAGCAAAGCAACCAUUUAGAUACCAAAAGCAAUGAUACAAACAAGGAUGCUGUUUAUCUGGACAUGGGUUAGUAACAAGAAGUUGUCAUUUAUGAAUAAUGUCACAAUGACUUAAAAACAGACAAACUAACCACCAUUCCCUCCCCAAAUGUAUAUUGCAAUAUUAACCUUCAGAUUUUCUUGCAGGCCAUGAGAAUUUCUUAUGGACCGUUUACAACUGAAAAAUGUGAUUCUUGCUGAAUAUACCCUCCAGCUUCUUUUUUCUUAGAUACUGGCAGACAAGACUGUGGAUGAUUAAAGAGAAUCCUGUCCCAGAAGAGAAUGGCAAUGGAUAUGUUUGAGCAAUCAAUCCCAAUACUGAGAUCUCAUUAUUGUGUAGUACUUAGUAAUUUUUAAAAAAAUUCUGGAUGGAUAAGGACUGUAAAUCUAUCAUCUCACACACAAGAGUAGCACCAAUUGUCACAGUAAGUUACAAGCAUUUAUUAAUGGCCAUAUGUGACACCAUACAUGUUUACAACUGGUCCAGUAUAGACAUUCAUCUUUAUAGAUGUCAGUUGUAAAAACAGCAGGUGCACCCAUGUAUCUAUCUGGAUGAUUAUAAAUUAUCCUUAUGCAUAGGCGUGAAUUAAAUCAUACCUUAGCUGAUGUAGUUUGACAAAGGGCCUGACAAAUUUAAUAAACUCCACCGAGCCAGGGUAGUAAACAGCCAUUGUUGUACCCAAUAUGCACCUAACAUUUUGAGAGGAAAUGUAAAGAAAUAUUGUAAGACGUGGUAUUGCCUUACAAGUGCUUCAAAUCCAGUUUGAAAGGGAGCACUUUGCAUUUAAAAUGAAUCAAGAGAAACCUGACAUGGGAAACACAAAUAAUCUUUUACAAUUUUUUGCCCUCCAAAUAUGGUUACCUGCAUAAACUAUGUAGCUGUGCUGUACCCAAGACUUCAGAUUAAUGCAUUUAAAGGAGAAGUUAGGCAGAUCUUUAGGACAUAUGAAAAUAUCAUUAAUCUCAUAAUAUGUUGUAGCACCUUGGAAGAGAAAUGCCAGGUCCCAAGCAGGCGUUAAACUCUAAUGUAGGAGACUAGUCCUCCUCUAAAUUCAUGUCUCUUUUUUGGCUUAGGUUCUUCCUGGCACAAUUAGAUCCAGUGUGGUGGCUAUUUUUAUAUCAACGUGACACAAGAUAGAGUCCUUUUAGAAGAGAGAACCUCAGUUGAGAAAUUGCCCUUACCAGACUGGCCUGUGGGCAAGCCUGUGGCACCUUGAUUCAUGAUUGUUAGGAGAGGCCCCAGCUCAGCCUGCUUGGUGACUCCCCUGAGCAGGUGGUCCUGGAUGCCAUUAGAAGGCAGGCUGAGAAGCCUUUGAGGAUUAAUUAAGUCAAAAGCAGCCCUAAGUCUGGAGUCAGGCUGCAGGCUUUAAAAUGAAAUAAACACUUUCCUUCCCAAGUUGCUUCAGGCUAGAGCGUUUUGUCAUAGCAAUAGAAACCUUAACCACGUUAUCUGGUAACCUUGUGCCAAAAGCACGAGAGAAUGGGAAGUUGUCCUAAAAUCUCUCUUUCACAAAUGUUCAGAAAGCUCUUUCUUAUGUGGGUCAAAACAGGAGCACUCAAGACCUUGAUAUACAGCUCCCACUUAGCACUCCAAACAGUUAUCUGAAUCAUAGUUACGACUGCUGUUUAGGAUCAACAGAGUUAGCCUAUGUAAUAAAGAGGCUUCAGAAUUCUGGCUACUUGACCUCUCUGUUCUCUAAUUGUUAAAAAGAAUCUAAAGACAGAAAGGAGUGGCACAAACUUUACCCCAGCAGGAACCCAGCAUUUCCAGACGCUAACUACAGAUUCUGUCCCUCAAGUGAGAUGCCCGUUAUAGCUCAGCCAAAAGCCAUUUUUAGUAUCCUCCUCUUCAAAGCUGCCUCACUGAGCUGGUUAAGUGCUGGGAUAUGAGGAACUGACCAUGCUAAGAUGGACUUCUGUGUUAAAUCUUUCAGAGCUGGCAAAUUUAGAAUAACCUGAAGAGCCAUGUUAUAUCUGUACUCCUUAUCAAAGAAGCGUCAGGGUAAAGAGUUAACGCCGGAGUUGGGUUUUGCUGGAGGGCUGAAUUAUUUAAUUGUUAGCUAUUCCGAGUUCCACAGUGAAGUAGAAGUAACAGAAUUAUCUGCCUCUCAGUGUAAGACCAUCUUCCCAGAAGGUCAGAGGGCAUUGGCAGCCUUGUGUUUAUUUGCUGGAUGUUCUGGGAUUUACAGUGCAGUGUGCACUGCUUUUGAGAAGUCAGCCAUGCAAGUACAUUCUACACAGUUGUGAAUAGUAGGUUGGGUAUAUGCUUACCCAUAAAGUGUCAAACUUGAGACCUACUCCUUUAGUUCUAGCCUGGAAACUAUAGCUAUGGGAAUACAGGGCCGUAUUCUGAGCUGAGCUUUGGCCUAGACCUACUUGGGCAAGUUAUAACUUCUUAGUGCCACACUUUGCCCAUCUGUAUGGGAGAAUAGUAACAACCCUCCAUCACAGGGUUGCCGAGAGACAGAGUCAGCUUGGACCAGAGUAAGGGCAGAGACAAGGGUAACCACUCUUGUUCUCACUCACGGGGAGAUGGAAAGAAACGACUCAAAAUUUCCACCGGCAGGCAUUUUAUAUCUUUAAAAAUAACUGUCAGAGUCGACAGUUUGAAAUUGAUGGUGAUCUUAAAUAAAAUUAAUGAAGCCUGCCGUGAAGUAACACCAGCCAUCAGUGUGUUUUUGAAACAGCGAAUUCAAAACGAUGAAAACCCUUUUACUCCAACAAAGAACUUGGCCUCCUCUGGAAGCUUGCUAUGUGUCAGGCAUAUGUAAUGGCGUUGAGCCUCGCUUCACCCUGGCACUGCCAUCUGCAUACUGUAAGAGAGGCAGAAGCUCUAAGGAGCAGUAGCUUUAGUAAGUAACAUGGUAAAGAUACAAGUCAGACAUCUCUGAACUCCCUCUCUGACUAAUCCCCAACAGUAUCCCUUCUAUCUUACUUCAAGCCUUGGCUUCCUUUUUGGCUUUUCUGAUACUGCCCUUGAUAUCCUAAUAGAGCCUCCUGGACCCAAAGGGAUUUGGCAGGAACUGUGGCAACAUGUGGUCUCCUGAUAUGGAUUUUUUCUCCGAUAGUAGCUAAGCAUGGGACCUCUUGUUCAUCUGUCAAUGUCCUGUGACUCACUUUGUGGUCCUACAACAAUGAGAACAUGUUGGAAAGGCUGGAGAAACUGUUAGAAGAUUUACAGUAAAAUUGUGAACACACAUGCAUAUGUUCCCUCAACCCAUGUCUCCGUGUUCUCUGCUCCAAUGGUCAAUAUUUAUAUUCACAAGUUUUAUAGCACAGUGCUGUCAUUAUUGCAGAAUUAUUGGAACAAGGCAAUGCGUGCCUUUGGAUUGGAGGGAAGCCUGAAGUUUCUAGGGUUGUAGUCCAUCAUCCAGGGAAGUCUGAGAAGGAACUCAAACCAGGAUCCCAGAGGUAGGAACUGAAAGAAAAGUCAUGGAGGAGUGCUGCUUACUGGCUUUUCCUCAUGGCUUGCUUACCCUGCUUUUCUUACCACCAGCCCAGGGGUGGCACAUUCCACAAUGAGGUAGUCCCUCUUAUAUGAAUCAGUGAACAUGAACAUGUACCAUAGGCUUUCCCACAGGCCAAUCUGGUAGGGCCAUUUUCUCAUUCGAUAUUUUCAUUUCUUACAUUACUGUAGCUGUAUGUCAAGUUGCCAUAAUCAAGCCAGCACAUUGGGUUCCUGGUAAUGGUCACUGAGAUAAUGUGGGCCCCUUGAAUGGCACUCCUGAUAGUGCAAAACAAAUGGUGAGUCUUGGGGUGCACAGAUUUAACUAGAAACACAAAUAUUCAGAAGCUAAACCCUACCUGCAACAUGCAGUGGCAUCUCAGAACUCCUCAGGAAGAAGCCUCUAGAAUUUUGCAUUUUGAAACUGAGUUGUACAUUCAGUAGCAGUUUGGCCACCUGGAGAGCAGACUACCAUCUCCAAUCUAACUCAACUUCAUGCCCCACCUCUGAAAACAGGUAUGGCUUCCAACAUACAAUGUAAAGAAAAAGACCAAUAAUUGGCCUCUUCUGCUCACAGGGCAUGAUAAUUUCAUCCUAGGUAGCCUCAUAUUAUCCUGCACUGUGUGUCCUUUUAAUCCUACCUUAGUUUUUUGUUUGUGUGUUUAUAUAUAUAUAUAUAAAACUUAACUUUUUAGAGCAGCUUUAUGUUUAGAGCAAAACUAAGCAGAGAGUUCAAGUGUGUCCCAGUCUAUGUGCAUGGCUUUCCACCACCAUCAGCGUUCUCCACCAGAAUGGCAUGUCUGUGAAAGUUAAUGAGCCUAUGCCACACACAGCACCUCACUGAAGUCCACGGUGUACACUAAGGCUUUGGUUUAAUGCAGCACAGUCUAUGAGUUCAGUAGACUUCCACCAUGUAUAUUUCACUGUGGUAUCUCAGGGUAGCCAGACUGCUCUGCUCCAAACCCCCUUCCCCCAUCUCUGGUAACAAUUCAUCUCCAUAGUUUUGCUUUUCUGGGCAGGUGACACUUCUUAUUUGCAGCUCUGCUUGGCAUAUUUCUACUGGCUCUGACACCUCUACCAUCCAAUGUAAAUCAAGCUUCACGUUCACAGCUACACACAUGAGCCCAUAGGACCUCCAUGCCUGGAUUCCUUUUCCAUGACCCUGAACUCCGAGGCUCUCUGGGACUGCAGAGGAAGAUUCCACAACCUUAUUACGUGUGUGUAUCCUCCAUGAGUCUAAAGCUAGCCGUGGACAGCACUGAUGAUUCAGCUGACAGCCUGGGUGAGCCCUGGCCCUCUUGAUCACAUUUCCGGAAGUUCUUAUCUGUUGUUUGUGUUCCUUUGUAGGUGUAGAAAAUGACUUUGGCCUCUUCUCAUUUCACAAAUCAGAAGCUCAGCUGGGUGAGGGUCUUGCCGUGAAGCACUCCUUCCAUUGCUUCAAUGGGAACCAGGCCUCUUGUUAGUCUAUUCAUUACAAGCCUUGGCUCCAAAAAUAAAUUUAUUUGAGUCAUUAUUCCCUUCACACUGUACUUUCAUAGUUCUUUCUGCCAAAAUCCUUCUUUUUAUCUUAGACCUUCAUAAGAGCGAAUAUUAAUAACUUAACUAUACAGUAGAGUUAAUACUAGGCUCUCUUGGAAUCUCCUCCAACAAAAUUUAGUCCACUAGUUUUUAAUUUAGCAUCAAGGUCAGGCAAAUCCUUAGGACAAAGACAGAAAGCAGACACAUCCUUUGAUAAUAUACGGUUAGAAUAAUCUCUUGAACUGAACUUCCAUAAUCCGCAUAGAUUGUUGUCCAAGUUCUUCCUAGUAAUCUGUUGAGCUCUGCUUAAAACAUCCAACUUCUUUUCUACUAUGAGACCUCCCAGUCUUCCAUAUUCCUCUAAAAAACAACAUGCUCAAGUUCUUCACAGAGACAGCCCACUUCCUGGAACCGACAUUUGUAUUAGUUACUGUUCUAUUGAUGUGAUAGACACCAUGACCAAAGAAGCUUAUAGAAGAAAUCAUUUAUUCUGGGCUAACCCCCUAGAGGGUUGGAGUCCAUGCAAGCACAGUGGAGGUAGGAGAAAGAGAGAGCUAACUCAAGGUGUCAUGAUCUUUUGAAACCAUGAAACCUAUCCCCAGGGACAUACUUCUUCCAGCAGGGACACACCUCCUAGUCCUCCCCAAGCAGACACCAACUGGGGAUCAAGUAUUGUAGAAGACAUCUCUCCAACCAUCACAGUGCUUACUCUUCCUUACAUAAUGUCUGUUGGUUUGUUUGCUUCUCCCAUUGCAUGAAGGCAGUGCCAACCCUCAGGGCUCAACUAUGCCUGGCUGAGAACUUAGUUAAUGAAUAAAUCAUAAAAAUGGCUUGCAUCCUUCUGCUACCAUUAGAAACUGAUGACUAGAGAUCCAAAAGGGGCAAGGAAAAUCUUAGUUGUUGUUUUUCUUAUUUGCACAUGCCAAGCUCCACACAGAACUCCUCAUGGCUAUUUAAUCUGGCCAGCAUAACUGCCUGGAGGUAGGUAUCGCUUUAACAGGUAACAUAGGGAGUGUAUAAGAAAUAGAGCCAAUACAUGCAGGUAAGAAAGUGAGGCUCUGAGACCUUAUCCUUGGUCACACAGCUAAUGCUCAAAUUCAGGCCCUUCAGAUGCCCAAGCUGAAGUUCUUUAACUGGUUUAGAAUUAGAGGAAAUGUAAUGGUCAUUCACUCUACUCGUUGGAUUUGUAAUACAGCUGGUAAAUUUACUGCCAUGAUGCUCACUGUUAUUUGUUUAACAUCAUGCAGCACCUACCUAUGGCUGGCUACAUGCUUUAGGGUGUUAACCUGGCUGUUCUCAGAAAAUUGCCAACUUUCUGCUCUCCUCAAGAGUUCCCUGAUUGGCAUCCAGGCUUUGAAGAAAUUGUGAAGGGAUGAAACAGCAGCCAGAAAAAAAAGAAAAAAAAAAAAAAGAAAAAAAAAAGAAAAAAGGGCUGGCUGCAGCAGAGGGUGAAUAAGCCAGGCUCUAGCUCCCACACAGUAUAAAAUAUUCUCUUUCAACAGUGCACAGAAAUUUCAGGGUUUUUCAUUGUUGUUGCUCUUGCUCUUACCAUGACUCAGUAACAGGGUAGGUACCCAGGAUGUCAGCCCUUCCUACUGUAGUGGGUAGAUUUCCAUAAUAGAAUGCAGUCGGUAACACAUCUGUAAUCCUGCGAGAAUGAUAACGGCAUUGCCGGGGAAAGCUGAUGUUUGAUUACAAAUCGCAGGAGUACUACAGCAUUUCUACCAGUUGUGGAUGGUCGAUCCAGCACAACUUGAGGCUGCUGCCUUCCUCCAUUAGGGAACAAAGUGUCUGCACUGGAAUAUCUCUGUCCCAAGCUCAACCCUUAUUACCCACUUCACCGUUUACAAACAUGUAUUUAUGCCAAGGAAGGAAUGUAGCUCCUCUAGGCAUCUCGACCCUCCCAGCAAGGGCUGCAUCCAAAAGCUGAUUGCCCCUGAGCAUCUGAGGAUGAAUUCAGGGAUCUAUCAGAGCAUUUGUUUUCUGCUUUGUCAUAUAUAUAACUGGCAAGUCCAGCCAGCAAGAUGUUCCAGGAGGAAGUCUUCCUGUGCCUGGAAUGCAGAAAGACCAGUUUCUCGGAUUUCUCUUCUCACCCUCCCCCAAGUCCCCACUCUCCAUAGCUGCCCUUCCUUUCCCAUUUGUUCCAAAGUUAUAUGCAGACUAUAAUUAUGUGUAUUUCCUUUCAUGCUGUUUAGAAUCAUACAGCGUUUUUCUGCAUCGAGAAUAGGUGCAAUUCAUUCCCGUUUCCUCUUCUCCAUUGUAACCCAAGCUGCUGCCUUGUUCUUACCCAUUGAUUCCUACCCGACCCACAACAAUCGAAUGGAAAUACAAUAGCUCCAACCUGACAUCCAUUUAAAUCACCUGCUAAGGUGCUGAUAGGCAGUGAUGACUUCUUAGCACAGCAGUUAGUGGGGGAAUUGUAUCGGUACUGCAAUGUGCUUUUUCGGGAAUGGGCUAUGCUUCGCUGCAUCAACAAUUCAACGACACUGUAAGAAGUUGGUAGAGAUGAGCACACUGAAUGUCACCCAACAUCUUUCUCUGUGUUCAAAUCUUCAUAAUGCCAGCUCAUUCUUUUGUCCUUCCUAUGAACUCGUAUUUUUUCUUAAUCCUUUAAAAGAUUAAAGUUUUAAUAUAUGUGCAUGAGGCAGAAUUCAUAGAACUGAGGUGGCUUUUCCAAGGUCUCAUUGCUGGCCAAUGAUGGUGGAUAUAGCAAUUGUAUGGCCCCAUAGUGAUGUGUUGUGAAGAGCCAGUAGGUAUCUGGCAGGCUCAUCUGAGAGCUGAUGAUGGAAGGGACUUUCUUCCUUUGACUAGCUGAAAAUGUAGAGAAACGAGAAUAUUAUAGUCAGUGGGCUGGGCUUUUAUUUCGUAUUUUUUGUCCUUUUUUAACUAAUGGGCUUGUUCUUGUUUGCUUUAAUUUAAAGAUGGUCUAUAGAGCAGUGGGUUUCGUUGAGACAUUUCCUGUGCACACCUUGGUACUCUCUUCUUCUGCUCUCCUAUCUCUACCCUACCAUUACUCAUCAUCAUCCUCCCCUAACCACCUCUUCUGCUUUCAUGCCGCAUGCAUUCAUUGUGUGAAGCUUUGUACAAGGAGUGGCACUAUUAAGAGGUGUGGCCUUUUUGGAGUAGGUGUGGCCUUGUUGAAGGAAGUGUGUCAUGGGGGUGGAGGGUGGGCUUUGAGACCCUUAUCCUAGCUACCUGGACGUCAGUCUUCUUCUAGUUGCCUUUGGAACAAGAGGUGAAACUCUCAGCUCUUCCAGCCCCAUAUCUACCUGGACCAUGCCAUGCUCCCACCAUGACGAAAAUGGACUGAACCUCUGAACCUGUAAAACAGCCCCAGUUAAAUGUUGUCCUUUAGAAGAGUUACCUUGGUUAUGAUGUCUGUUCACAGUGGUAAAACCCUAAGAAACAUUCCAUUACUGUCUCCUAUCUUUUCUUUCUUAUUGCCUUAAGUUCUUUUCUUCUCUAGGGUUGGAGAGAUAGCUCAGUGGUUAUGAGACCUGUAUGCUUUUGCACAGGACCCAAGUUUGGGUUCCCAGAACCCAGAAGGAGGCUUACCACAAUCAUUAACUCUACUUCCAGGGGAUCCAGUGUCCUCUUCUGGCUUACAAAGGUAUUAAGCAAGCAUGCAAUGCAGACACACACGUGCUAGCAGACACUAAUACACGUAAAAUAAAUCUCUUUCUAGAAAUCUCUUCUUCCUUUUCAUGGUCCCCUUUCUAGAUUCAUGACCCACAUCCUCACUUUACCCCACACACAUAUAAAUUAAAAUCUAGACUCCACAUAUGAGAGAAAAUAGUAUUCAUCUUUCUGUGUCUUGUUUACUCAGCAAUUUCCAUUUUCAUCCAUUUUCCACAUAUGUCCUGGUUUUAUUUUCUUUCAAACUGUAUAAAGUUCCAUUGUAUAUCUGUAUCACACUUACCUUGGUCAUUCAUCUAUUGCUGGUUAUCUGGACUGCUCUCAUUUUGAGUUACACUGCUGGGUCAUGUAGUAGUUUCAGCAGUCCACCAGUAGGGGGAGGCUGCUGGCUUAAGUGUGGCUUCAUGCCACACCCUGCCUCUAACUUUAGAGUCCCUGGUCAGGUCUCCACAGCCAUUGUCUCUCUUCAUCCCACUGUUUGUCAUAGUCAUUGUUUUGUUGCUGUGAAGAGACAACAUGAUGGAAGAAAUGCUUAUAAAAAGAAAGCCUUUCAUUGGGGGCUUGCUUACAGUUUCAGAAGCUUUGUCCCUAUCAUCAUGGCAGGGAGCAUGGUGACAGGCCUGGCAGGCAGAGAACUGAAGAAGUGGUUGAGAGCUGCAUCUUGAUCCACAGGCAGGGGAGAGGAGAGUAGGCCUGGUGUGGGUUUUUUAAAACCUCAAAGUCCAUUCCCAGAAACACGCUUCUUCCUACAAAGCCACACCUCUGAAUUUUUCUAAUCCUUUCCAAGAGUUUCACUCCAUUAUGACUAAGCGUCAAAAUAUAUGAAUCUAUAGGAGCCACUCUUAUUCAAACCAUCAAACUCUUCUUGCAGCACCUGUGUCCAGCAGGGGACAACACCUCCCUGGCAGCUUCUAUUUAUGCCAUCUUGUGUGAGCAGUGGGGUUGUAGCUAAGCAGAAGUUGGUGUACCACUCUCUUAUCUUCCUGAGAAAAAUCCCACCAAAAUUUAUUUCUUUUUCUUUUAGCUUCUUUUCUUAAAAAUCUUUACUCUUUUACCGAUUACACAUAUGUAGCUUCUAUUCAGUCUUAUCUAGAUGCCUCUCACCCUUUGGCAUUUUAUACUAGUGGUUGAUUGUUUAGUAUAGGAAGCAUCACAGCUAUCCUGUCUGAUAUCUGAAAUUUUACAAUCUCUGUUUCUUUUGUUAACCUACUUUCUAUGCUUUUUCAACUUUCAAUAUUGUUACAGUAGAAAUAAUCUCAUGGAUCAACACUGAGUAGAAAUCAGUAUUGACUCUCUAGGGGGAGUGCUCACCCUAAGAGCCUUUGAAAUGUAAAUUCACGUGUCUCAAACAGGUCUAAAUGUAGGUGUCUUAGGGUUUUACUGGUGUGAACAGAUACCAUGACCAAGGCAACUCUUAUAAGGGACAUUUAACUGGGGCUGGCUUAUAGGUUCAGAGGUUCAGUCCAUUAUCAUCAAGGUGGAAACAUGCCCAAGUUCAAGUUCAGGCAGACAUGAUACAGGAGGACCUGAGAGUUCUGCAUCUUUAUCCUACGGUCCUUAGAAGACUGACUUCUAGGCUGGUAGGAUGAGGGUCUUAAAAUCAUAAAACUCUUGUAAAUAUUUAUCCGAGACCUUUAGGCCUCUUCCAGACAACAUGUGCUUAAAGACUGACAGAAACAACCUCUUCCCUUUCGAUUCUGAUUGCCCCAUGAUAAAACUUACUUGUCCUUAACUGAUCUACUUAUCAGCCUGUCUGCAACACAGUCACAACGAGAUCCUAUCCUUGCCUGAGAAAAUAAAGAUGAGAAAGAUAAAUGAAAGAAAAAGAAAUAAAGACUUACCUGCCCCGGUGUCCCUGUUCGGGCGCCAAAUGCCGCAGACCCUCUGGGUCCCUUUGUCUGCACGGAACAGGUCUCUGGUCACAGGUGGGCAAAGAGUCGGCAAAUGACAGACAGAACAACACGCAAGAUUGUGUAGAAUCUGAAUGUAAUUUGUCAAAUUGAGCAUCAAACUUUUUAUACAGAAGAAAAUAGGGAAGUUAGGUGACACAUCAGCAAGGUACAAAUGAGGUUACCAGAUGCUUAAUGACUCUUACACAAAACAGGAAUGCAAACACAAAGACUGGCAGGAACUGGGCAAUAAAAUAACUGAGACAAAGUCAGCCCUAUCUAAGGUCAGCUAUAGUCUUAGAAGCCAGAUGUGAGGUCUUUACACUCCUAGGGCAAGGGCUUUCACACCCAAGACAUGGUUCUAAUUAGGGAGUUCCGUUCUAGCUAACCAUCUCAUGAAUAAUGUAAUACUCUAAAACCACAGUCCGAUCUACUUCCUAAACCGUUGUAAAUUCCUGUAUAUGGGAGCGACUUGGCUUUUAUUCUAAGUGAUAGUGUAAUACCAGAGGCAAUUCUGAAUGUCACUGAAUAGGCAACAUUGAAUUCUAAGCCCAUGGUCAGCUCAAGGACUUUCUGAGACGUUGGAACACUGGCAAAGGCUUAGCUAUGUCAGAAUUCAUUCUUAAAAGGCAUUUAUAAGAUAAUACUAAAAGAGAGCAGGUGGAUCCAUACACCAGACUAACACGGGAAUAGGGUAUGAGUAUAUGGCUUAAUGAGAACGCCAAAACUCCAGCAGGUGAGCUUCCAUGAAACUCUUUGCCUCGUGAGCGCUUCCAGGCCUCUCGGCCUGCCAAGCAAGACUUCACUGGAGUGUGCGUGGCACCCAAGUCUACAGUCACACACCUACUCCAACAAGACCACACAUCCUAAGAAUGUCACCCCAUUGGCCAUGCAUAUUCAAACCACCACAGAAGGGUUCUGUCAUCUGUCUUAAUGAACUGUCCUGGUGACUCUGAUAUGAAUGCAUGGGAAUGAGGGAAUAGCCAGUAACACUGUUGAAAUUAAGAAAGGGGGAUAGUGCCGAGCUGCAGGGAGAAGCUGCCGGUCAUUCUUUCCCUGCUUGCAAUUUAGGAAGAGGAACUCGUCCAACUGCAAUGCUCCAAUGGUUAAAAACAGGACUGGUUUACAAAUAUGCAGAGAGCACACUCUAAAAUUGUCUCAUGAAUAAGAAAUGGGAAAGACAAUAAGGCUUGUUCAAGGGAAAUGAGAGGUAGAUGUUGUUAUAUAGUGAAUAGAAGAAUACUGAAAUAAGAUUGAGUAACAAGUUUGAUUAAUAUCCUAGGGGGAAAUGAAAUGCUGCCUACAAGUCGUUUGUUUCUCUCCACAAAAAUAACUGGCAAUCCAUCAAUCAAUCAUCUCUACAUUAACAUCUAACUUUACUGAGUCCUGACCCUAAAUCAAUAUCAAGCAAUAAAAUAAUAUUAUAUACCUGAAAUUAAGGAUCUGUAUAAUUAAAUAAAUUUUAAGCAGGUUUAUUAAACAAUGCUGCACUGUAACUAAAACAACAUGCAAUAAUAUUCGUUGCCAUAUUCCUAAAGUUUGGUGUGUGUGUGUAUGUGUGUAAGUGUGUGUGUGUGUGUGUGUGUGUGUGUGUGUGUGUGUGUUUGUGUAUGUUACUGAGGGCUGAACAUAUGGUUGACAUAUGCUAGGCACAUACUCUACUACUGAAUUAUUUUGAGACAGUGUCUUACUAAGUUGCCUGUGUUGGACUUGAACUCAUUUUGUAGGCUCAGGCUGGCCAUGACCUUGUAAUCCUCCUGCCUCACCCCCUGACGAGCUGGAUAUUUAGGCCACUUCCACGAGGCCUUGGCAGAACUUUUUUUUUUCCUUAACAAACCUUCAUUUUCAAAAGGGAACUGUAAUAAGUGUUAAUAUAGAAACUUUGUUAACCCUAACCUAAAUAAAGCAUGCUGGAGGAUGACACAAACCACUAGUUCAUUUUCACAAUCCAAAGGCAUUCAUUCUAUUGACAGUUUGAUGCAGCUCGCUCUAUUCACUUUCUCUACCAUUCCCAGGGAAGCAUUCUGACUUGACAGUAAAGCCUGCUAUUCAGCUUCUGAAAGCAAAAUUAACAGUCUAGUCUCCGCAGCGCAUGCCUUUACCAGGUACUUCCACACUCAGCUCCCCCCUGCAUUCUCAGAGAAAAUGUCAGCAGAUUUGCUAGCUUGCAUAACCUUAACUUAAAAGCCAAGCCACUUCCCCAUCAAUAUUUAAAGGACUUGAGGCAAACCAGAGAAUGAACGCUGUGUCUAGGAGAAGUGAGACCAACGUUGUUGAAAUCACAAUAGUCUCAAUUAGAGGGAGCAGUCUGAGGAUUUUUUUUUUUUAUACCAAGAAGACUUUUCUUCCUGUUUUUCCCUUGUUGUUCCAGAAUCUUCUAUUCUUUGAGAUAGUUAUGCUUCAACCCUGGGAGAUGGUAGGUACAACCCAUAAAAAGAAAUUGGCUCUCUCCUUUUAGUUGCAAAGUAGACUUCCAAAUGUGGAUAAGCAAAGAAGAUUGUCUUGUAGCCCAAGGCAAAUUCUGGUGAAAUCAGAUUCUACUUCCAGAUUUACUUUGCAUACCAAGAGUCAAUAUUUAUAAAGUCCUAAUUCAAUGUUCCUUCCUUCACUCAUGCUACAAGCAUUCACUAGGAAUCUAUAAUGGAUUUAUAAUGGAAUAAACACUGGAUAUACAGAAGCCACCAGAGCAAGGUGUUCUCAUGGAUUCAGGUUCUGACAGAUAGAAAUAACAGUAAGUAUAUAGGCAGAUAAACAAACAAUUACCAGAUGAAGACAAACUCCAUGGGAGGGUGGAGGGCAAAAUAAUAAAAAAGAGAGAGGAGACAGGCAGACUUCAGAAAAUUUAUAGAGAGAGGUGUAGUGAUUCUAUAUAAUCAUGAAAGAAUAAAGGUGUGUGUGUGGCAACUGAUCAGACCUGAAGCAGUGUAGGGAAAGCCAUACAGGCCCCUAGAUUCCCAGAACAGAGACCUGAACAGGCCUGAAGUGGAAGAGGUUUAAGCUGCAGAGAGAACACACAGAGCUGCCCAGGCUGUGUUAGGUAUUUUUACAUUGCUUUAACAGAGACCCAGUGGGAACAACAGGGAAAGAGCGAAAUGGUUUGGAUUCUGCCCUCAGAGAGUCUCAGUCCAUCAUGAUGAGUUUCUGCCAGGGGAGUGUGUCUUGAAGACUUGUCCCAUAGCAGUGGUCCAGGAGGCAAAGAAAGCAGAUCAGAGCCAGUGAUGGACAUAACCACCACAGGCUCACUUAUAGUGACCUUCUCUUACUAGCCAGGCCCACACUCCCAUCCUUGAAACUAAUCCUGUGAAAUGAUGAACGAGGAAUACAAGCAUGAGCCUGUUGGGGGCAUUUCCGAUGAAAUCCACAACAUGGGAUCAUGCCAGAACUUUAUGUGUUACUAACAGUGAAGGAGGAACCAGGGGGGCACUUUGUAGAGUAAGGGGCGAUUUCAUGUAACUUGCUUAUAAAUGGCUCCUGCUGGCUCCUGGCUAUAUAUUGACUCUAGAGAACUAGGAAGCAGAGAGACCAGCGAGAGCAAUGGUACAGGGAAAGGUGCUGGUAGCUCAGGCCACCGUGGUGAGAGCAGAGAGGUGAGGACUAUAGACUUCUGGAGGUUUCAGAGGUGAUGAACACGCAGUGACACCAAAAAGAUAGUCAUGCUUAGUGGACAGGACGUAACAACUGGAGGAGCUGUGCUUUGAGUUGACAUACUGCGUCCACAAGAAAUGGUCCAAGCCCGUCUACCUUUGUUUCAGGCUGAGCUCUGGGCAUCAGAGGAUGGUGCAGCCCACUGAGUUAGUAAAAGGGGAUUCUGAAACAGAGAUUUAGUUUGCCUCUCAGGCAUAAACAUGGGGCUCACGGAAACAUGCUGUAUCCUCCAUGGCUUCAGAAAGAUAAAGGGCUUACACCAGGCUAACAAGUGAGCUGGGGAUGGCGGGCUAGAGAACUACUUCUCCCAAACUUACUACUCUGCGUGUGGAAAGCCAAAUGUCUCCAUCACCCUGAGAGGGAGAAAUGGCUGUCAGAAAGAAAGAAAUCUAACUAGGAGGAUCAGUGGUUAGGAUCAUGAAGGUGCUCUAUGAAGCUAUGCUUACCAGGUUCUAGGCAGGACCAAAGAGGCCGGUAUUACCAGGUAAGUAAGGAUUGGAUUCUAAUAUCUAACACUCUGUAGUUUGAAAUAUACCCUCUUGGUAUACUUGUAGAUAUAUCUUUGAGUAUACGACAGAUAUCAGGAACACAACCCUCUCUUCCCAGGAGAAUUUACAUAUCAGAGUCUUGUAAACAGCUGUAAGAAACACCAGAAAAGCAGUUGCAGACAAAAAUCUCUAUUUAUCAGGGAUGAGUUGAAAGAGGGGGGGGGCAUUUAUAUUUCUAGUAUUGGAGCUCAGUGAAGAAGCUCAAAUGCCCAGGGUUAUCUGUGACCAGGGAGCCCUUCCCUCUGUCUGUUCUUAAUGUUUGCAUCUUCUCUAAAGGAAGACAUGUUUAUAUACAUAUGCUGACAAACACUGAAAUUAGGUUUAAAACUAUUAAUAUCUUCCAACUUUAUUUGUGGUAGGUAGGAGUAGCCAGGACUUAGUUUCCUCUUCUCUACUCCCACACAAACACCCAUCUUCUCUCAAAGUACCUGAGUUUCCAUCUGCAAAAUGAAGGGCUCAGGGUAGGCAGUCUAAUUCUUUGACCGUAACCCGAUAGACUUUGCGCUGCCGUGUAAGCUCUGCCAGCCAUACUGUCCCUGUUUCCAUCACUCACUGAGUGUCUGGUGACACAGUGCCUGCCUUGCUCGGCACCAAAUAAUUCUCAGCCCAUCAGGGCAUGCUAUUUGGAGACUGUGCCACAGACCAAGGCCACUGGAGGACCUUGCUGAGGAUAGAGAGCUUAACUGACCAUGGACUGAACCCCACUGGGAGUCAGAUCAAGAUGGAAACUAUGAUCAGUUUAUUUUGUAAGUCUAAGAACAACAACUUCUCUUUUGUUUAGUCCCUGGAGAAGGUAGGGAGACAAACAAUUUGGACUUUUCAUUCCUCAGCCAUCUCUUCAAGCUACUCUAAAGCAUUAAAACUGGUAGCUGAAUCUGUCCAGAGGCUAAAGAAAGCCCACCCCAGUGGUGGCAAAUGUAGUCUCUGGUCUCUGUUGUUUUAGCGUGCAUGAAUAUGAUCUACCUAGACAUCAGAAGGGCCUACUAAGGACUCCCCAUUCUCAGUUGUCACUCAAGAGGAGGACAGACAUUGAAGCUACUUCAUUCAGUAGUAGCACAGUAUCCGUAAAGGCACCGGGUUCUGCAGUUGCUGCCUUCCUUUUCUCCAGGAGAUGGACCACUCAGACCCACAGCCAUUCUAACGCUAGGAAGGAAAGAAUGUAUGACGACAAAGGAGAGAAGUGACUAACUGGGCAUAAGCUUCCUGAAGAGACAGAAUGGUGAGUUCAUGUUUUGCCAGGCAGGGAGAGAGGAGAAAGAAGUUGAGGUGAGAAUCUCUGAGCAAGGAAAGGGGCAGGGGCGGGGAGAGAAAAGGGGCAGGGAGAGCACACUCUCUGCCAGAAGAGUGCUCUGUCCUGUUGUCCUUUGGCUAGAGCCCUGUGGUCCUCAUCAGACCAAAGCCUUAAGCUGAUGAUAACAUGUUUAGGUGGGCUUAAAAUCUUAGGGCUAAGAGUGAUUUCACAGGUCGGUAACUCAAGAGGAUGUGACAACGCAUGCAUCAUUAUGCGAUAGUAAUGAAGCAAUGGAUGGAGCCUGGGUGUGUUUUCCCUCACCCCCGCAACAGGAAGUGCUUUGUUUUAAAGAACAAUUGUGAUUUUUGAGAGAUUUCAGUAGCACUAGACUUUUGUGAGCUUCCUGUUUUGGAACAAACUCUUCUGUGUUAUUUAUUUUCUAUUUUUUUUUUUUUUUGUAUAGCCAUAAAAAUAUUUUCCUGCUAAAAAGAAAAACCUUGCGAUGUUUGAAAACCUUGAACUAUCUGUAGUUCCCACUGAUACACCUAUAAAGCGUCUUAUCAUUGACGGAAUCAUAUUUGAGGCACUUCCUGAGAACCCUAUAUUUUUCUUAAUAAAUUAUCUCACUAUAAACACCAACAAUGUACAAGGCAGCUUAUGGUUUUGUUCACCGAGUCAGAGCUCUUUCUUUCUUUAUAUUCUGUCUCUAUGCAUUUCCCUGGCUCAUAACACAAUUUUUUUUCCAUAGAAAUCUAGACUCUUUAAUUUAUACGUGAAUUGAAAAACUUGCAUUUUGGAUCAGUAGCAAGGAAGGAACAAUGGCCUUAGAUGUCUCCUCAUCACCAGUUGUUAGUAUAUAUAUUUAUAUAUAUUAUAUGAAUACUAUUAUAAAAAUAUUAACAUAAGAAUGUUAUUCAUAAUGUAAGAAUAGGAUCUAGAUUUCUUGUGAUAUCUAAGUGUAUAUUUGUAUAUAGAGAGUCUAAAUUUCUAGUGAUUAUACAUAUAUAUUAGCAUAUAUAAUCUAAAUAGAAUAAUAUAUCUCUAAUAUUCUAUCUAAUAUUUUAUAUAGGUUAUAUUAUACAUGUAUGGAAUUAUAUAUGUAGAAUUUAUGUAGAGAGAAGUAACUAAUUAAUUAAUAUAUCUAUUAUAUAUAAUAGACAUUAGAUAUUGAUAUAUAGAGAGAUAGUUAUAUAUAAAAUCUACAUUAAUUAAUUACCAGCUGUCUAUCUAUAUUUAUAAUCUAUAGAAUGGUAAUUAUCAGAUCCAGUGAGGGUGUUGAGGAGUGAUGGGAGGAGAACACUUCCUCUCUCCUUGAUGUGACAGAUGCAUGUAAGUGCGGCUGAUGCUUUCUCACUGCUGUUUCCAGGGGAUAUGAUCCAUUGUAGAGGGCUUUACUCCAGUGGCCUUUCUCCACCAGCAAGGCUCAAUGUCCUUCAGGUUCCAUAACCUCUGGGAACAGCGUUAGCAGCCUGGGACCCAGGUAUUCAAACCAGUGAGCACAGCACAUAAAGGGCAUUUCCCAGCUAAGCCCUAGCAUAGAGCCGUGUAACCUUUGAAAGCAAUUAGCAAAUUAUUUCAGCUACCCAACAGUGGGAUUUGAAUGUUCCCACUGCAAAGAAAUAACAUCCUUGACACCCCAGAUGUCUCAUAUACUCAGUAUGUGUUGCAUGUGUAUACUGAAAUGCUCACUAUACACUAUACGUAUGUAUAGUUACUGUGCAUCAAUUUAAAAAAUAUAUUUAAGAUUUUUAUUUUCCUCUUUUGAAUGGUAAUUAAAAAAACCCCACUAAACUCUAGCUUGAUUGAGGAGAGAUUUUCCUCAGAGUACCUGGGCUGUGCAGAAGCUAAAAUGUUUCUUUGUCUCACUCUUCCAGGCCACUCUUCUUCCCCGUUGUCUUAGUUAGGGUUUCAUUGCUGUAAAGAGACACCAUGACCAAGGCAACUCUUAUAGAGGAACGCAGUUACUGGAGCCCGUUUACAACUGCAGAGUUUUAAUCCAUCUCGGUGGGAAUCAUGGUAGCAUCCAGAUACAGUGCUGGAAAAGAAACUGAGAGUUCUACAUCUCAAUCUACAGGCAGCAGAAGGAGAGACUGUGAGCCACACUGAGCAUAACUUGAGCUUAGGAGACCUCAAAGCCUGCCCUCUCACCCCACAGUGACACACUUCCUCCAACAAGGCCAGAGGUGGAGUUUCGUAGUAGACUUCUUGCCUAGUAUCCAUGUAGUGCUGGGUUCAGUUCUCACUAUCGGAAAACACUUAGGAAACGGUGUUUCUUUGGCUCAUAGUUUUGGGCUUCUUUCUACCCAAGUGGAGGAAGCAUGGUUAUGGGACUCUUCCUGCUCAUGUUGGCAGGCCUACAGAGCUGGAAAGAAACACUGGGCCAAGCACUCAAAUACAUGAGUCUCUGGGGGCCAUACUUACUCAAACCACCACACCCAUGCAGUAGAGUACACACACCUGCAGACUUUUUCCCAAAGUAUCCUGGUUACAACAGCUGUGUGACCUUGAUGAAAUGAUUUCUGUGCCCUUGGUGUCACUGUUUCUGUAAAGGGACCACAGGUGCCGGUGAGAGCCUUCUUUCUGCUACUGUCAUUUAGGGAGAUCAGGUGUCACACCUGCAUCCUGGCUGAGCUUUGCAGUAAGACUCCCACAGUGGGAGCACUGUGAGAACACAAGGGCCAUUUGAGAAGUUCUGAGCUGAGAAGCCAAUUAGCGGAGUUGGGGAGUGCUUCCUGCUCAGUGGUACCUUUCCUCUUGUUAGUUAGCUUUUUUUUUUCCAAAAUGUUAUGGUUUGCAAGUCUCUGAGGGUUUUGUAUCUUCUGCAAACCGCACACCCUGCUUAUGCAAACAGUUUGCUACAAUCCAGUAACAAUCUUCUUACUUUGUGACAAUAAAUGCCUAUAACAACUAUAGCCUUUUUAUGUGUUUUGAACAAAAUAGUUGUAUGGCUAAACUUUGAAAAGAAACUACUAAAAUGUGAAGUCCUUAAUCAGGUUCAUAUAGAACCCCAGGGGUCUCUAGAACACACACACACACUCACACACACACACACACACUCACACACACAUACUCACACACACACACACACUCACACACACACACUCACACACACAUACUCACACACACACUCACACACACACAUACUAACUCACACACACACACACUCACACACACACACACACUCCACACACACUCACACUCACAUACAUACACACACACUCACACACACUCACACACACACUCACACACACACACACACUCACACACAUUGCUAGUCUCAGUAUUUGGUUACUAAGGUUACUGAAAUCACAUCUUAAGAAGUAUUUAAAUCAAUUCUGAUGCUAUCAAGGUAAAAUGAUAAUACACUUUCAUUCUUGUAAUCUCUGGGGGUGUGUAUGAAUCUGUAUAAAGAAAAGACAAAACAAAACCCUUUGUGAUUCCAGAAGCUGUUAACACAGUGGAAAGGAACCUGGGUCAGAAGACCUAGGUAUGGGAGUUGUCUCCAUCUCCUGGCUAUGGAACCUUGAGUUUGUCCUCAGAAUCUUAGUAUCUUCAUGAACAAAGUGAAGAUGAAAAUCUUGUAUUCUGGGACAUGAAAUGGAUUUAAAAAGUUGCCAUACGAAAGUUAACACUAAAAAUUCUAAAACACGAGAAAGUUGAUAUUAUUGUAAAAAACUGUAAUUUUUGUCUGUAGCAAUAUCACUGAUAUUGUUAUUAUUGUUGUUAUUAUAUAAUACAAAUUCUUUUUUGCUUUCGUUCAUAUUAUUUUAAAACAGUGCUGUAAAAUCCAUGAAAACAUAGAUGCCCAAUAAGAAUCUGUAAUAAUCACUGAUACAAUGAGAGAAAUACUCUUAUUAGAUAUUUUAUUAUUGUCAUAUAAAAAUGGUCUUUAACAUUUUAGUAUUAAAAUAUUUCUCCUUCUUUACCUUUAAAAGGCAUCUUUAAUUGAUUUUGAACAUAAAGUGACACUAUUGCCAGGGUAUAAAAGUACAGUAUAAAUGUGGCAUUUAGAGGUACCUGUCAACACUGCUGAUCUGAUUAUGUAAUAUUGAAACAUGUCUGUACUCUUUUGGUUCAAGGCCCUCCUCCUCCUCUAUGGAGUCUGACCUCCACAGUCUGGAAAUUGAGUUAACUAUUAGAAUAGGUGGGUACCACAGGUGGUGUCUUUAAUAACAAGGGCAUCCAUUGAUUGGUGGGUGGGUACCAUGGCAGAAAUGAUGGGUAAUCCUUCUAAACCCCAUCCUUGUCUAAGUAGUUUUCAUUGAAGGUGUGUGGUUACAUGAUUAUCAGAAAGUAGUGUUGUGUCCAUCAACGGAAGUGCCAGACAAAAGGGUUUGAGCAGUGCCUUCUCUUCGAAUACCUUGUAAAUGUUAAGCCAAAAGACUUGGUGCAGUCCCAAAGCUGACUUAGAACUGUAGCGUUUAUAUAUAGUGCUCUGAGGAUACCCUGGGAGGUCAGCGACUCUAGAAAGCAUAAGACAUGUUCUCUUGCAUUUAUGACUCUUUCUGAAAUAAUAAGGUGUGAGAUCUAUAGGGACACAGGAGGGAGAUUUGUGUACAUAGGAACCACACUAACAAGAAAUACCAUUGUCAGUGUUUUAUCAGAAAGACUUUUUUUAUUAAAUCUUUCAGGAACAAGACUUGUAUUAUUUAAAAAAAAAAAAAAAGCAGAAAUGGGUUCAAUACAGCCUUUAGGCAGAUACAAGUACACAGCUUUAUCAGAACCUAAAACAUCUCAAUGCUCUCACCUCAACUUGCACAUACAUUAAAAUUACUCAUUAUUUACCUACGAAGCUUCAGUGUAAUACUUAGGUAAGGAUGGAACUCAGAAUAGUGACCAUUAGUUCUGUAGUGGCAUCAGUCAAAUCAUCAGUUGGAUCGACUAGAAUGGAAUCCUCCUUUCUGGCUCUCUGCUUCUUAUAUGGUUCAGAUGAAAUUAUGUAGGAACAGAAGAGAGACAAUCAAGCUCUUUUUGGUGACAGUAACAUCAAUAUUAUGAGUACCAUUCCCAGGAAAAUUAAUAUUAAGAAUAAAGAUAAUGAACACCUGCUAAUCACUUAAUUGGUGAUAUGCUGAGUGGAUAAGGAUUGAUUACGUAUUAGGUACUGAUCCAAGACCCUUAUUUUCAUAUAAACUUCAUAACAACCAUUGAGAUUGAUGAUAUUAUUCCAAAUAUUUAGAUGAAGAAGACGCAAUUCAGACACAUGAAUUUUUCUAAAUUUGUGUGCCAUUCUUAGGUGAUGUUACAUGCUAUUUGGCUGUUUAUUGCCCGAAUAUCUGUCUCAUUAGACAGUGCUCUACCUCUCCAUGCAGUUGCCUCAUUAUCAGGCUCUGUCUCUUUUCAGUAACCCUGUGAUGCCUUUACACACAUGUGCUUGAUAAAAUUGUGUGUACAAAUUAACAAACCUUUCCUCACUUUCCAAUAACACAUCACUUUGUUUUAACAACGUAGCUCAGUACAAUAUUGUUUUCACAUUUUGUUUCUGCCAGGGCUCUCUUUGCUUGCUAGAUCUCCAUUAAGUCAAUGUAAAUACACUUAACUAAGUAUAAUAGUCAUGUCGGUUCAUUAAUGAUGCUGAAUCUUUGACAUGACUUUAUUCCUGUGAUUUGAUGAAUCUCCUUUCUACCACAAGCUUAUAUAAUUGACUAUUGGCUUCAGGCUCCCACCACAGUAUUUUUUGUUAUUGCUGUUUUGUUGCUGCUGCUGCUUCUGGUGAUUAACAGAGGGUUGGGGGCAGCGGACUUGAGGAAACAGAAGCCAGAUGGGCAGCAAACAGGGAUUAUGAAGGUCAACAACAAGUUCAGGGGUCCCCUGUGGUCCUCUACAGGCUCAAUCUCCUUGGGUCAAACUGAUACAGAAACAAGAAUAGCUGCCUGUGUCUGCAAGUCGUAACCAGUCAGGAGCCUAGAGUCCCUUGAGGAUAUUUAAAUGGGAGCCAGAAAAUUGCCACCAGGUGGUGCCAAACCACAGCACAGUUGGAUUUAAUUGUAUAUGCCAAGACUUGAAAGUGCCCCUUCUCACCCCCACAGCUGGAAAAGGGCUAAAACGGGUGAAUCUGUUGCCUAGUGCAGACAAUCUGGAGAUCAGGUCCAGGAAUUUAGGUUUUUUUAUCUUCUGCUUUCCAAGCUUUUUAUGAGGUCUAAAGUCAAGUCAGCGAAGUUAGCCCAAGCAGGCAGGAAACACAGGGCCCGGCACGUAGGAGACAUUCUACAAAUAUUUAUAACUGACCUGAAAAAGAACUAAGUUGACCCACAGUUUGCUCCUUACAUCUUGACUCAGCUUCAGCUGUUAGCACUCUGGCUUUAUUGAAAGCAGAGUGGCUUCUUCUCACUCAUUCUGUCCAACAGAAUAAGCCUAAUUCCUGGGGGGAACUGACCUGUAAAUAGCUGCAGGGCAGUCUUUUACCAAUCCCCUCGCUGCAACAGUGCACAUAACUAAGCACGGUUGUGAAUCAUUGACGCUAAUAUGCCCUAUGCAGAGCUACCUGGAGACCAGAAAGGCAUCAUUUGUAGAGGAACGGAAUUUGGAUGACAGCUUUGCAAGUGUGCAUCAAGGAAGGAAGGGCACCAGUGAGGGGUUGCCCAAGAGAGGCUUCCGAAGAGUUGGCUCAGCUAAGUAGAGGCUGCAAAGAAAGGAAAGACUCUUAGAAGUGAAUAAGGCUCAAGGAACAGACAGCGAGGAGAGCCUGGUACAACCACGAAGGAUACAGGGAAUGAGGAUCAGAUUUUUUUCAACCAAUUUUAGUGAAAUGGACCAGGCUAGAUGAUCUUACAGUUAGAGUAUGAAAUUCCCCCUUUAAGUAAGUACAUGUGUUUGAACACUUAGUCCUUGGUGCUCCCUCUCCCUCAACACUUUGAACUUUGUUGUGGAACUUUGAGGAGUUGGGACUUUGAAUGGGAACUGGAGGGUCUUGUGGGCUGGUUAUGGUUGACCCUUGAUUCCAGCUUGAACUCUGCUUCCUGCCCCCCACCCCCAUGUUACUUACCAGCUUCCUAUGCCUGUCAACAUGGGUGGCGAUGGUCCCAUAGCCAUGCUUCCUCCACUUGGGUAGAAAAGAGCCCCAAAACUAUGAGCCUAAGUGUUUUCCUAUAGUGAGAAUUGAACCCAGUACCAUAUGGACACAAGGCAAGAAGUCUACUAUGAAACUCUACCUCCCGCCUCCCUUGCAUCAUUUCCAGCUUAGUGAUAAGAAAAGAGGUAGCACAGAGACUCCCUAGAUGUAAGAGAUGUGGCUGGCAUGUUGGUACGUAACUGAAGACAGCUGAGUCUCUUAUGUAAAACAGUUUUCGAAGAAUCUGGGACAACAGCUAAGCAAUGUAUAAGGCCAGUGGGUCUCAACCUUCCUAAUGCUGCAACCCUUGCACACCUUGUUGUGGUGAGCUCCAAUCAUAAAAGUAUUUCAUGGCUACUUCAUAACUGUAAGUUUGCUACCGUUAUGGAUGAUAAUGUGAAUAUCUGUGUUUCAUGAUGGUCUUGGGUGGCUCCCAUGAAAGGGUUGUUCAACCUAUCCCCCCAAAAGGGGUAACGAUGCACAGGUUGAUAGCCAUGCAGUAGAUGAAACAGCACCUCAAGCUUUGAGUCCACACUUAGAUUCUGUUGCUGUGAACAGAAAAUCUCUGUUUGAGGCAAGGCCCCGGUGUGUCUCUAGGCUUCCCAGGACCUCUGUUUCCAACAAAAGUCCUAAUGUAUAGUCUGUGUAAACAUUCCUAUGAGUAUAUAUUUACAUAUACAAAAUGGGAACAGAAAUGAGAGUGUUUGUGUAGAAAGCAGGAUGGUUUCAUGUGAGGUCGAAGAGAAGUGAGAAUAAUCAUGUUGCUGUAUUGACUAGUUGUAUGUCAACUUGACACAAGUCAUGUAAUCUGGGCAGAAGGAACCAAAAGGUAGGAUUUGCCUCCCUCUGAGUGGCCUGUUAGCAAGUCCGUGGGGCACUUUAUUUAUGAUCAAUAUGGGAGAGUCCCAAACACUGUGAGCAGUGCCACCCCUUGACUAUAUAAGUAAA